rnacentral:rRNA from 1 species
UACAGAGGUCCCGAGCGUUGUUCGGAUUCACUGGGCGUAAAGGGUGCGUAGGUGGUGAGGUAAGUCGGAUGUGAAAUCUCCGGGCUCAACCCGGAAAUGGCAUUGGAAACUACCUUGCUUGAGGAUUUGAGGGGGGAUUGGAAUACUUGGUGUAGCAGUGAAAUGCGUAGAUAUCAAGUGGAACACCAGUGGCGAAGGCGGCUCACUGGACCGGAACUGACGCUGAGGCGCGAAAGCGUGGGGAGCAAACGGG